AGGCUUUUCUUCACUUAAUCGCAAACUAAGCGUAAAAUGUGCGGGUCAUUAUACAUGGCAAACUAACUAAACACUAAAUCACACACGUAUCGACACAUUCUUCGGGGUGCCUUUUUAGGUCGAAGACAUGGGAUGCGUGGAGGUCUAACC
rnacentral:misc_RNA from 1 species